UUAAUGAAAUAAAAAAGGUUAAUAAUGCUAGGUAUUUAUCACAGAAAGGUAGUGAUCUCUCUUUGCCAUAAAUCUAAACAUAAAUAUAGCACACAUAAUGUGUCUGUGGCAUUUUAAUUGCUGUUAUUACAGCAAUUAACAACUGAUGCCUCUUGGUUGGCUGUAACCCCAAAUUGUACAGUCACACCUCAUCAUAAUGAAGUCUGACAUGAAAAUAAUUUUGUUACAUCGGAAAUUGUUAUAAAGGCAUAUACUUAAUGCUGUUGUUGAUGACAAGACUAUUCUUCAUUUACUUCGUUAAAGCUGUAUUCAUUUUAUCAAGCUCCAAUUGUAACAAGUCACCUUGAAUUGAAACAUCUGCGACGGGGUGACUUUUUCUGUUCCAGUUAACUCUGACUGUCCUAACACUGUUCCUUUCUUUUAUUAUUAUUUUAUUUUUUAUUUUUUUGUUGGUAGUGGGCCCACGAGUGCUGUAACACACCACAAUCGUGGUUGUACCAAGCUAGGUUCUGACUGUUGACUUGCGAGGCAUUACACUUUUUUAGUGGCACAUCAGAUCCAGUUUUUCUCUGCUUGGCACAUCACUUAUGAUAUUAGAGAUUGUUAUUACCAACUAAUAUAGAGCAGAGAUAACGGGUGCUAGUGCUCAUUACAUUAUCAUUAUAUAUUUAGGCUUGGUCGCAGCACUGCUGGCCGAUACCUGCCGUUACAUUCCUAAGUCUGCGAGAUGCGUUGGUGUGUUGGAAAUCAUUUAGCGGCAAAUGGUUCUGUAUGUUAUAUUUUACGUUUAGCGUUGAGUUGCUUGUGUUCUUAGCAAGUGCUACGUUUGUGUGAUUAAGGGAGUCUGUGAUUUACUUGUUUGUUUUCCCCAGCACUGCUGGGGUCCACAUAGGCACGCUUAUUCAGUUUCAUCCCGUGUUUUUACAGAGAUUGUUUCUUGCGGCGACUAGGUGGAACGCUGAUAUGCAGGUGGCGGGCGUGGACUGACAAACGCGCCGUGUUGCCGUUUCCGUAUGUGUGUUUGUUUCCCGUCUGUCCGUAUUGUCUCUUCAGGCUUGUCCUUUUAGGAUCGUCAUCCAUGCAGCAAUUGUGCAUUUUACUGUGCUUCGCUCGUCGUGUAAGGAGAAAAAUGAUGGCCUAACGUGAAAAACUCUUCCGUCGUUAAGGCAGUGGACGGAAUCUGCUUUUUUUUACCCUUGUACGUUCCCUUUCUUUUUGUGAGGAUGUUGGGUAUGUCACAUAUUUUAUGCCUCUAUAUAUAUAUAUAUAUACACACAUAUACAUAUAUAUUAUAUAUAUAUAAUAUGUUGCUGUUGUUGCCGUAGUUUAUUGACAUGCUGUUGCUGAUUACUUCCCGCGCGCUUUCAGGUUUGCCGCUCGGGUAGUCACUUCUACGCCAUCUACCUGCGUAUACUUACGUCUGUCGCGAGUGUUGGAUGUGGUGCGUGUGGCCGAUUGGGCAGCAGGCGCGCUUGGGUUUCUCACGCAGCGUUUUAACGAGUUUGGUGGUGCCGUCGUUACUCGUGCUUAACUAAGCGACAGCUUGCCAUUGGUGGAGGAAGCCUGUGGACCACUUUAAUCCGACGUACACAGGGUACGUCUCGUGAAUGCUUGCAUACUAUUCAGCAUGACCUUUUUUUUUGCGUGUGCGGUACUUGCAAGGAAUUUGUGUGCAUGACAUUGUUAACUGGUAAUGUAUGUGCCACACUUGGUACACCUGUCGUACGGGCAGGGUUCGUGUUGUUAUGAGCAAGUUCUCCCUAGCACAUGGAGCACCAAAUCGGCCCUACGCUGCUACAGAGGAAAGAAGAGUGUGCUUUGCAAGUGACACUAAAUCGAUAGAUGAAUCAGUAGGCACAACUUACUUAUUUUAGGCAACACUUGCUAAAUAGCAGUGUGGUGUAGUUAUAGAGAGUACUUUGAAUAAACGUAUUGCAGAUGAGGUAAGUUAUUGCAGUCAUAUUAGCCUCAUCAAUCACCAUGAGCCAAGCCACAUAUUACAGUGGCUGCGCGGGCACAAACGAGGCAGUCAUUGCAAGGCUCAGACAGGUGCAAGUCUCUGGUGGCAUUGUGUGUGAGGCACACCCUUGUCUAAGCGCAAAAUAAAACAGUACCUUUUGGCUUUCGGUAGUUUGCAAUGCCAUGAGUCAACUAAAAGAUGCAUGCAGAUAUCGAUCAGCAUUGUCCGUGCUGAAAAGUAAUGCUAUUUAUCGUGUUUCUGGACAGAAUUUUUGCAAACAGAUCGCAGACCAACUCGAGCCACUCUUUUGUUCUGUGCAUGAUGCGCAGUGAUUGGGACGCUCUGUGCGUUCAAAAUGGCCGUAUCUUGGCACAUGUACCAAGGGCUGUGUGUUUUUCUUAGCUCAUGCUUGAGUGGUCCAUAAGCUUCUUAUCCUCAAGUUUACAUGGCACAGACCCCAAGAAAUUUCUUGGAGCAUUGCCGCAGAUAUCAUGGCUGAACAAGUUCGAACUGUCUUUAAACCACUAGCAUAUCUACUACUAGCUGUUCUUGUGAACUCGCCGUGGUAGCUUGGCAGGUAAGGUGUCGCACUGCUAAGCUCGAGGGCGUGGGUUCGACUCCCGGCCAUGGCGGCUGCAUUUAGAUGCGGGCAAAAUGCAAAGAACACUUGUGUGCUUUGAUUGAGGUGCGCGUUAAAGAACACCGGGUGGUCUAAGGCUCUCAAUAAGCUGUGCCUCAUAAUCAUAUCGUGGUUUUGGCACAUCAAACCCCAGCGAUUAUUUUUCUUGGGCGCUUUUUUUUAAUCCCAUUUUAUUACAUGUUAUGAAGCAGUGAAAGCGCUGCGUCAUCUGUACUUUGGCAACUUUCAAAACAAUGACAAAGCAAAUAUGUCACUCUGGCUUUGUCCAAAUUGGGCUCGGAGACAGUGUAAACAUUUAGUUCAUUCUAUUCGCAGGCCGUACAACAAGUUGCCGAACAUUUUGUCUGUUAACAAGAUGUUCGGAAUUCGGUAGUGUUCCUUGGCAAGCUCACUAGGGGAAAAUUUGGCGCUAGAUUGGUUUCACCUUACAGGAAUUGAAUCAUGGCUUAGUACUGUUGCAUUUUUGCUCGAAUUUAUUGAAAGGAAGAGUUCACUUUCUAUGCUUCCUUGAUCACCAUUAAACGUCGCAUUGCAUGUCACUGCUUCAUGCAGCCCACACCUAGGCGGUGCCACCGUACCUAGCACUGCAAGCCACACGAUGCUUUUCUUCUUUUGGAGUUUCACAUCUCUGUACUGUGUACCAACGUUUCGACUGGUACUGACGCGCGCGAGGGCGUAUCAAACUUGUCUCUGUAUCUUUCUAGAACACCGAGAGUGAUUUAUACAGCCACACCUCCCGUCAGCAGGGUUGAUCUGUUUAGCCAACAACCCCCCUUGUGAGGAAUCUGGCAAAUAAACGUACUGUGAAACUUUUGUCA